rnacentral:rRNA from 1 species
CGGGGUGCAGCAGGCGCGAAAACUUUACAAUGCUGGCAACAGCGAUAAGGGGACCUCGAGUGCCAGGAUACAAUCUUGGCUGUCGCGAUGCCUAAAAAGCAUUGCAUAGCAAGGGCCGGGCAAGACCGGUGCCAGCCGCCGCGGUAACACCGGCGGCUCGAGUGGUAACCGCUAUUAUUGGGUCUAAAGGGUCUGUAGCCGGCCGGAUAAGUCUUUUGGGAAAUCCAGCUGCUCAACAGUUGGGCUUUCAGAAGAUACUGUUCGGCUCGAGACCGGGAGAGGUGAGAGGUACUUCAGGGGUAGGGGUGAAAUCUUGUAAUCCUUGAAGGACCACCAGUGGCGAAGGCGUCUCACCAGAACGGAUCUGACGGCAAGGGACGAAAGCUAGGGGCACGAACCGGAUUAGAUACCCGGGUAGUCCUAGCCGUAAACGAUACUCGCUAGGUGUCAGCCACGGUGCGACCGUGGUUGGUGCCGUAGGGAAGCCGUGAAGCGAGCCACCUGGGAAGUACGGCCGCAAGGCUGAAACUUAAAGGAAUUGGCGGGGGAGCACAAGGGCAAUUCGC